GGAUGAAGACUUUCCCAUGAAAACACAGGCAGGAGGCCAUUCCAGGGGAGGAACCACCUGAGCAAAGGCCUGAAGCCUCGGGAAAGCUCUGGAGUGGCUGCGGGGCCUCUAGCAGGUUCCCGUGCUGGUAGGGCUCCUCCGGCCAGAGAAGUGCGACUUCUCUCCCCACCACCUUGCUUUUCCCCUCUCUGGGGGAUGCAGGGGCAGGAGGACUCAAGCUCCAGGGUUUGCACAAUUUACACCAACAGGGAGCCCUGGGAGGUCGGGGGAGAGGAGGGGAGUGGUGAGAUCUCCGCAAGCAUAAGAACAACCUCCUGGGACUUGGAAGGAAAUGCUACACUCUUCCCCAUUCUAGAGCUAAGGAAACCAAUGUUCAAAGAGGGCUGUAGCCAGCUCGAGAUUAGAGUCUGGACCCGUCCGUGACCGAAGUGGAGGACAGUGGUGACUGCACACCGAAAUGACAGGGGUCCCAUGAUCAUCACUGGGGACAGGGGGACACUUGGCUCUUGGGAAAUAAACCCCAAGGCUUGGAGGCGGAGGAGCCGACGGGAGGAGGGGAGGAAGCUUGGUCCAGGAGGAGGAAGAAGUCCCACAAUAAGAAGUCAUGUGGCCGGGCCGGGGCUUCCUGUUUCCCAGCCCCUCCCCGGCCAGCCCUGGGCAGCCCAGGCCCAGGCGGGCAGCGGACAGUGACCUGGGAGCUCAGGCAGUGACCACAGUACAGCGAGGAACAGAGAGUAGUCACGCAAGAUCCUCCCACGGGGAGUCAGUGCCCGCUCGCCAGGAGAGGAGACUGAGGCUGUCGUUUCCCAGGACAGCAAAGGCAGGAGCUGACAGCAGGCUGUGUGUUUAGGGGCAAGGAACCCAGGAGGAUCAGGGCGCAGGUUUUCAACAGCAAUGAGCGCCAGGGCCACUCGGCCCCGGAGCCGGCGUGGCAGGCACGCUCCGCCUGGUGAAUUGGACCCUGUAGCCGAGAGUUCCGAGGAGGGCGAGGUGGCCAGCGGGAGCUCGGGGCCCGGCCCUGCACUGCCGGGGAGCUCAGGACCACAGCAGCUGGGGCCUGCAGCGGAGUCGGGCAGCCAGGGCCCUGGGAGCAGGGCCAGCAAAGAGGCCUCAGAGGAUGUGGAUGGAUCACUGGCCCCCACCCCAGAAGGGGCCCAGCUGCUCGCAGGGGACACCAUCCAGCACCCAGAGAUGGCAGCCCCACAGGCCGGGGGCACUUUCUCCCCUGCGUGUGGGGCUCCUGAUGUGUUCCAGACCCUCCAGAGUGCCCUGGCCUCCCUGGAGGCCGCAGCUGCUGCCUGGCGCCCACAGCUCCUGAGUGGCCCGGGGCCUGGGGAGGUGGCAGGCCGGGCAGAGGGAAUGCCAGGGCCCUGGCAGGAGGUGGCCUACCUGGCUGAGAAGAAUGCCUGGCUGCGGCUGGCCCUGGAUACCCGGGAGGACACGCUGGCACACAUGCGGGCAGAGAGCGACACGCUGAGACAGGAGGCCCAGGAGCUGCAGGAUUCCCUGAGGAGGCUGGAGUCCACCCCGGCUCCCUCCCGCAGCCACGCUAGCGGCCCAGGCAGCAACUGGAGCAGCUCUGCAGCGGCCAGGGAGUCUGGGGGGCCGCGGGUGAGUGUGACAGGUACCAACCCCUGGUCCCGACGGCCUCAGCACAUGAGACUCAGCUCCUGCUCAUGGGCCCAGUGGCUUCUGGGGUUGGAGAAAGCCCAAAGUCAGCCAAGCGUGGUGGCGCUUGCUUGGCAUCCCAGCUACUCAGAAGGCGGAGGCAGGGGCAUCACAAGUUUGACCUCAGUCUGGCCAAUUUAA
rnacentral:lncRNA from 1 species